rnacentral:rRNA from 1 species
GGGGUAAUGGCCUACCAAGGCGGCGACGGGUAGCCGGCCUGAGAGGGUGGACGGCCACAUUGGGACUGAGACACGGCCCAGACUCCUACGGGAGGCAGCAGUGGGGAAUAUUGCACAAUGGGCGGAAGCCUGAUGCAGCGACGCCGCGUGAGGGAUGAAGGCCUUCGGGUUGUAAACCUCUUUCAGCAGGGACGAAGCGUGAGUGACGGUACCUGCAGAAGAAGCACCGGCUAACUACGUGCCAGCAGCCGCGGUAAUACGUAGGGUGCGAGCGUUGUCCGGAAUUACUGGGCGUAAAGAGCUCGUAGGCGGUUUGUCACGUCGUCUGUGAAAUCCUAGGGCUUAACCCUGGACGUGCAGGCGAUACGGGCUGACUUGAGUACUACAGGGGAGACUGGAAUUUCUGGUGUAGCGGUGGAAUGCACAGAUAUCAGGAAGAACACCGAUGGCGAAGGCAGGUCUCUGGGUAGUAACUGACGCUGAGGAGCGAAAGCAUGGGUAGCGAACAGGAUUAGAUACCCUGGUAGUCCAUGCCGUAAACGGUGGGCGC